GGUGGUAUAGUAUAGUGGAUAGUACAACACGUUGUGGUCGCAUACUGAUACCGUGUAGACCUGGGUUCGAUUCCCAGUACCGCCA
rnacentral:tRNA from 1 species